rnacentral:rRNA from 1 species
CUGGCGGCGUGCUUAAUACAUGCAAGUCAACUUGGCUUUAGAUAGCAAUAUCGAAAAGUAGGGUGGCGCACGGGUGCGUAACGCGUAGGUAAUCUGCCCUGAGGUCUGACAUAACCCGUCGAAAGGCGGGCUAACAUCAGAUGAUAUAUAAUCACGACAUCGUGGAAAUAUCAAAUCUUCGGAGCCUUGGGAUGAGCCUGCGUCUGAUUAGGUAGUUGGCGGAGUAAUAGCCCACCAAGCCUACGAUCAGUAGCUGGUCUGAGAGGAUGAUCAGCCACACUGGAACUGAGACACGGUCCAGACUCCUACGGGAGGCAGCAGUAAGGAAUAUUGCUCAAUGGGGGAAACCCUGAAGCAGCAACGCCGCGUGAAGGAUGAAAUACUUUGUAUGUAAACUUCUGUAAGAUGGGAAAAAUAUUCUCCUCGGGAGAAUUGAUUGUACCAUCAGAGUAAGCCCCGGCUAACUACGUG